rnacentral:lncRNA from 1 species
CUGUCAUUAUGAAUAGUGUUCCCUUUAUUUCUAUUAACAAUUACUUACUUAUUUUCUGAAUAGGUUUGGAUCCUUUUUACAUUAGCGGCUGAGAGAAAUACUACUAAUCACAGACUUUUCCAUAUGAUGAAGGAUAAGCCUCUUACAAGUCUAUGUGGAAUUAUUAACACCACGUGUGACUGCACAGAUGUCUUCUUAAGACCGCUAAAUGAGUGCAAACAAAGUCUGUCUGUUCAACUGUCCACAGUAGGUCUAUGCAUCCAGAAGGCCAAAGAGAGUAUCCCCUGGAGACUGUUCAGCUCCAGAUACUUCACAUAUUCUUCCCUUUAUUCUCUUCAUCUACAUAUUCUACAUCUACAUCUUCUUCAUCUAC